CUGCCUGCCUGCCUGCGUGCCUUGUGUACUGCGGCAGCAAGAAGAACAAGCAGCUACACAGCAAUACACAGUUGAGUCGAGUCAAAAAGCAACCACUACACAGGCCAGCAGAGACUUCGUGCAUGUCUGUAUGUAAGCAGUUGCCACUAGGCGUACGGGCCGGCAGCAGAUAUAACGCAAAUACACUUUCACAUACAUUUAGUUAUGCAAACAUACGAACAUGUACGUGCUGACAACCAGCGUCUAUAGCGACUAUAGAGGAGAAGUGACAUACUAUACUAAUACAUAUUUACAUGUAGAGAGGCCAUCAAGACAAGAGCAGCAGCGUCGAUAUUAGUAGUGGCAGCUGCAACAACAGCACCGGCAAAGCAAAAGUAUAGCUGACAUGGUUGUGCGAUAUAGCUGGCCUGCCUUUGGCUGCUUUUAAUAUGGCUGCCAUACGAACGAGCUAACGAACCAGCAAGCCGGUGAACUAACGAACGGCCAUACGAAUACGGCAAACAAAUUUACAUAGAUGUACGUCUGUAUGUAAACGUACAUUUGUAGCGCUGCUGACUGAUUUCGAUAUAAGUACAUAUUUCAACUCAAUUCAACUCGUGGUAAAGGCGAUUGUAGAGCAAAGCACCACUGCUAAAUCGAAAUGGCGAACCGGCUGGCUGACUGACUGACUGACUGGCGGUCUCGCCGAGCGUCUGAUGCACCGAACAACCCGACAAAUUGACAUUGUGACUGCUUUGACUGGCUUGUUGGCUGUACUCUACGACUGGUGUAGAUACAAGCAGGCAGGCAGGCAGGCAGUGCCAGUAAAGUAAGUAGAUUUCGCUCGAUCGUAUACAAAAACGGUUGAUUCGUGGUGUGAGAAAUGGUAGUCAUUUGAGGGGUACUAUGUGAAUUUUGGCGGGGUACUGGAUUGCAGUGGUGGGGCAAGGCGGCGGCAUGAGUUAACGAACAAAUAUGUGCGCCAGCGAGCAGGCUGGUUAAUAUUAAUAACAACAACAAUAACCAUUGCAAACAACAACAGUUUAACAUAAAAAACAACAAACAGCAACGCAUACAGCUGUCGUAUAAUCAGCCGCCACAGUACAGUACUGUGCUACAGCAAUGAGCUGACUGAAGCAAAGAUAGCAACAAUAAAAAACACAGGCACAUUUUGCACAAAGCUCACAAAUACCUAUCUACAUAUGUACAUAUAUACACAUAUAGCAUACACUAUACAUAUCUACAUGUAUUAUAUAGAAUCGAAUGAGACGAAGCGUUCGACGACCGCCUAUCUACCCUCACGCGGCAAAUGUCCCACAGCGUCGUCGUGCAAAUAAUGCUCUGUACCGAAAACUCAGCAAGCAGCUGUCGACUCAUUGACAAAACGAACGAAUAAACACCACAUACAUUGCGUUGCGCGUUCGUCGUUAGCUGUUGACGUUUAUCACACUGGUGGCGUGCAUAUUAAGCUAACAUUUUCGUAUGAAAAUCGGCCAUUGCACUGUGUGUCGUUCAUAUGAAAUGCUUGGUGAGUUUUUUUUGACACCGUUCCAAUAUCCUGACACGUUAGUGUACAAUCGUUUUUUGAGUCGCCGAUAUAUUUUAGGCAACCAAGUAAACAACCAGACAGUCGACUACCAGAUAGGUAAGUAGCCAGUUAGUCAGCCAUCGCGGGAAAAUCUCUACCAGCGCAUGCAUUCAUGUUCAUAGUAUGUACUACAGCAUACAGUACUAGGUAUGUGGGAAUGUGGAGAAGUACGCAUGCACAUGAGAUUGUUUAUUAGUUGCCGGCAUCGGUACCGGUAGUUCGAGCGCAGCACAUGCUAAUGAUUUUAUACCGGCUAAGCGCGCAUUACUCAGCAUAUCCAUCGAAUGGACUGGCCGACAUGUGGAAUUUAAAGUCUUUGGCUUGUGAGGUUUAUGAGUAUUAUAUUCAGGAAAUUUGUGUCACAAACGCUUAGUGGCGUGUGUUUUUUAAGUGCAUUAAUAGCUUUAAGUAAUUGCAUGAAGAUUUGUUAUUUUUUAACAUUAGUGCUAACGGAAAUCGAUUAAAUUAGUCCAUAAUAUGCACAUAUGUACAUAUGUAAGUACAUACUAUGUGAGUUAAUAUUCGGUAGUGUAAACUUUUCGGCGGAAUGUAAGAUUCUAGUUUUUCUUAAAUAUAUGGUAUAUGUUUUGAUCAAAUUUGAUUAUA